UGGGGAAUAUUGGACAAUGGGCGCAAGCCUGAUCCAGCCAUGCCGCGUGAGUGAUGAAGGCCUUAGGGUUGUAAAGCUCUUUCACCGGAGAAGAUAAUGACGGUAUCCGGAGAAGAAGCCCCGGCUAACUUCGUGCCAGCAGCCGCGGUAAUACGAAGGGGGCUAGCGUUGUUCGGAAUUACUGGGCGUAAAGCGCGCGUAGGCGGAUAUUUAAGUCAGGGGUGAAAUCCCAGAGCUCAACUCUGGAACUGCCUUUGAUACUGGGUAUCUUGAGUAUGGAAGAGGUAAGUGGAAUUCCGAGUGUAGAGGUGAAAUUCGUAGAUAUUCGGAGGAACACCAGUGGCGAAGGCGGCUUACUGGUCCAUUACUGACGCUGAGGUGCGAAAGCGUGGGGAGCAAACAGGAUUAGAUACCCCAGUAGUCCCUGAGCGGGCUGGCAAGGCGCAU
rnacentral:rRNA from 1 species